rnacentral:lncRNA from 1 species
AAGAAACAAGUCACAAGUCCCUAAAUCACAUUCAAUUUGCAACUAGAAAAUCGAGUAUAUUAAUAUAUAGAUGAUAUUUCUUUUCAUAAAAUAUUACCAAAAAUGAUCAACAUCAGUUAGUUGCACAUUAUAUCAAUGAUGUAAGCUAGUCACAAUAUAGUGUUCAUAAACAUUUAGCAAAAAACUACAUAUCACUAAUAUCCCUCAAUUGUAACGUAAAAUUUUCUUGACAUUCCCAGCAAAAAGAUGGUUCAAUCUAUGUGUCGUUAAAAAUCUGCUUCUUGUAAACUUCAAUAUCCAAAACCUGUAGAAGAAAUAAGAAAUUUUAGUUAGAAAAAUUGUAACUGUGUGGACGGAACAAAAUCAGGGCUAGAUGGAGAAAAAAAGAAGCAACAAAAAAUUAUUUGCUAGCCACCAUUGUUCCCUUUCAUCACUUGAAAAAGUUGUCUUAAUUUAUAUAUAGGGACAAAGAAUUGAGACAAAUAGUUUAAAUUAAUGCAGCAAAUUACAGUUUGUUAUUUGUUCUGCUCUUAGCAAAAGGCUCCCAUUCAAAUGAACCAAAUAUCUAGCUAUUUCCUAUACUAAAUGACAGAAGAUAUGAAUUACUCAUGAAGAAUAAGGACAAUUUGUUUGAAUUUUUCAGUUAAGGCCCUGCAAUAUCAUCAAUUAAAUUUCUUAUUAUUUAUUGGUCAAAGAGGUCCAAACAAAACUUAUACCUUCACAAUUCCAUUCACAUGUUUGCUAAGGUUUACCAUGCUAGGAGUAUUAGAAAUGGGCAGAGUGUUGCCAUCAAAGUCAUAGAUAAGGAAAAGUUCUAAGGGUUGGACUUGUGAAUCAGAUCAAACAAAAUAUAUCUGUUAUGAGACUAGUUAGACAUCCUAAUAUCGUGCACCUUUACGAAGUCAUGGCCAAGAAAAUCAAGAUUUAUUUCGGGAUGGAGUAUGAUAAAGGAGGUGAACUCUUUAACAAGGUAGCGAAAGGAAACAUUAAAGAGGACGUUGCACAAAGUUAUUUUCAACCGUUGAUAAAUGUUGUAGAUUUUUUGCCAUAGCAGGGGUGUCUAUCACUGGGAUUUGAAACUGAAAACUUACUGUUAAACGACGAUGAAAACUUAAAAAUUUCAAAUUUUGGUUUAAGUGCUCUUGUCGAGUCAAAGCACUAAGACAGACUCUUACACACUACGUGCAGGACUCCAACCUAUGUUUCUCCGGAGGUGCUCAAUAGAAAAGGCAACGAUGGUGCAAAAACUGAUAUUUGGUCAUGUGGGGUUGCCCUAUUCGUGUUGUUGGCUGGUUAUCUUCCAUUUAAGGACUCAAAUUUAAUAUAAAUGUAUAGGAACAUGAGGUGUUGAGAAAGGACCGGAAAUAGGUCUAACUGGGAGUGCUAAAACAGGCUGCCCUGGCCCAUAUAGAGGUGCUGAUGUUGGAGGUGGCCUCCCUGCAUCAUUAGGCAUACCAGGCUACAUCGGUCUAAAAGUAGAGAUCCCUGAUCCAACCAUGGGGCCAGAUGAAGAUGGAGAUGACAUAGCUGGAAAAGAAGUAGGGUGAGCAUGCCGAAAAACAGAAACGUCAGAUCGAACUACUAGAACAGAUUAUUGAAAAGGACUUGCAUUCUAUGGAGCACCAAAAUGUGUAGUAGCAUGCAUUUAGGGAAAGGUUGGUCGAUUGGGAUAUUUGGUGCCCAUGGUCACAAAGGAUCACUUCCUGAUGUUUUUCCACCAAAACAAACAAAAAGACAUGUCAUUAUUAUAUUAGCACAAAAAAGCAAUGCCAGACUUAUACAUCAGCCGAGAAUAGUAAGAAAACAAAAUAUUUGCAGAGUUAAAGUACAAUGCAAAAAUGCAAAAGGGAAAAAGGCAAAAAGGAAAGAUAAAGACAAAGGAUAAAAAAAAUAGCUCUGUCUAAGUAGAUAAAUACUUCAUCGAAAGCUAUUAUCAUUUUGUCAAUGAGCAGUCCGACGAGUUUGAUAGCAGAUAAGGAAUAGUUCGGAGAAAGAGGGAUAGGGCAAAGGGAAAUUUCAGUUGCAUUUCCUUUUAAUGCAAAGAUGCGAAGGUGUACUUAUAGAUUGAAUUGCCGAUAAGCUUUCCUUACAUGUACCGGUUUUUUAAUUUUAAUGAAUUUAUUUACACUCUGUAUAAAAAUUAAAUGGCUAGGAUCUAGCUUCAGCAAAUACAGAGGAAAAGCAAAAAGUGGCUAGGAUUCCAAACUUGAAUACAUUUGAUAUCAUUUCCCUUUAUGAUAAGUAUGAUUUAUCCAAAUUAUUUGAGGAACUUUUUUUAAAGAAUGAAGCUAAAUUCAUAUCCUGGAAACCAGCGGCCGGCAUCAUGUCCAAGCCGAAAGAUACUGCUAAACGCCUUAAACUAAAUGAAAGCCUAAGACCAAUUCUUCAGGAUAUUGUUUGGACAUGGCAAGAAGAAUAACAACCUCAGCAAUCAAAAAAUCAAUAUGUAACCAACCCCUAACAAGCAGCGCACAAGAUUUCAAACUAGAGAUGAACCUAGAAGUUGUAGAUAUUUUACCUUGUAUGUGCUUCUUUUAAGCAUUCAUCGUCCAUUAAAUAUUAUUACCGAUAUCCUCAACAACAUAUUUGUAUCAAUACAUUAUUAUCACUUUCAGCAACUAGCGUCUCCGGUAUGGGUUAUCAAACUUCAACCACUAGCGUACAUUAAGAAAUUAGUAAUAAGACAAAUAACUAUGCACAACCAGCAAAUUCAGAAUCAACAGAAGAUAUAAAUUCCACAAAGGAUAUUUAAUAACAUACACUUAAAUCAACCAAAAUAAAUUGAUGUUUCGUGUAAGUUGCUACUCACUUGUUAUCAUCAAAGAUCUGAAUAGUUAUUCUCCUGAAAGGCUGAAAAUUAGUUUGUUGCACUAAUAAUAAUUCUUUUAAUUGCCUCACUUCUUUUAAUUUCACCCCAAUUAAAUAGGUUUCGUCAAGUCAGUUAUCAACAAGUUGCAUCAAUUGCUUAUUUGGUGCCAUAACCUUGGAUAGUAAAUAAAAAAAAGGUUUAAAUAAUUAAGAUAACAAAAUUAUUAAGAUGCACAUUACUUAAAAAAAGUACUAAGAUGCACAUUACUCAUUAUCAAACUUGUCAAACUCAUAUUUAUGACUAAACUUCUUAUGAUUUCACAAGAAUGAGAUAAACUAUAAGUUGAUAUGCAUAACAUAUAACACACAAUUGCUCAAGAAAAUGAGAAAUUAAAACACAUAAGAAACUUCAUAGUUAAAUCACUGAUUUUCUUUCUUAAAGGUUAGAUGCAUAGAAAGCAUUUGGUUGAGCUCCAGAAAACUGGUGGUGACACAUUAGAGUUUUACAAGACAUGUUCUUGUUUAAAUUCCUAGAAUAAUUAUGACAUUGUGUAUCAUGAACUCUCCAACAAUUAUUGGAAGACCAUAGUGACGUAACAGAUUCUUGGACCUUAAAAAUGGCAGUUCUACAAGAACUUCUCUUCGGUAAAAGAUAUCGUCUGGACAUCUAGAAAAAGCCUCUGAAAAAAAAAAUUCUUGUAAUCAACACAAUUCUGUUAUGGGUAAUAGAAACUAUUGACUUUUCACUCUACUGAAGGUCAGCAAAUUGCUACUGGGAUCGAGGAGAUUACAUGGGAUUUAACUUUGACUAAUGAUAGACAAAAAGAAGUCGAUGAUAAGGUAGCUUCAGGUGAUCGAAUAACUAUGCAAGAGGAUGGUUUGAAUCGAGCAAACAAUGGUAGUAAGCAGCAAGGAGUUACACUGGUGGCUCAAGAAGGUAACAGUGAUCGAGCUACUAUCGAUCGAGUGGAGCAUGUUGUAAUGCCUGAAGCUAUGGUUGCUAUCAGUGGUGACAUUAUUGCUUCUUCAGGUCAAGUUGAAGCUCGGAAAAAUAUUGAGGGUGUAGGUGUGGAGCAGGUCAAGAAAAAACCAACUAGAGAGGAUAUGAGGUUGAAGGAUAUUCUUGCUGGUACGAUUUUCGCGAGGAUGUACACAGCUACUGCUGGUGCAUUGAAGGUUGUUGCUGAUCGAGCUAAUACCUCAAACAAACCUGAUAUGGUUCAACUGGUUGGGGCAUCUGUAAUGUGAAGGAGUUACAAGAUCAUCAGUUGGUGAAAAAAGUAGUAGCGUUUGUGAAGUCUCAAAAUCAAAGUCCUACUGCUGCGAUGAAGUUUUCAAAGGAUGGGAGUUCAAGUUUAAAGCUUGUUAAUGCUGUGAAUACAACUGGCGUGGCUGUUUUAUAUGGUUCACUUGCUACGGGUGAUGGGGCAGAUGUUCAACAAGUUCAAAAACCAGUAGUUGAUGCAACAGGAAAGGGAAAAAUCUGGACAUGAAAGCGUUCAAGUUACUGCAAAUUCCAAUAGCAAUUCUGAUGGGAAUAUUUGUGCACCUAUAGCUAGAUUGAAUGCCUAUAAAUUGGUCAAUAAUGAGAAGAAAAAUAUGGUGGAAGGUUGGACCACAGUAGCUUGCAAAAAGACUGUUACAACACAAACUAUAGUGUGUGUACAUGUAAUUGUUUUGCAGAAUUUUUUUUUAUUUUCCUAUAUUGUCAGCUUUAUUCGAACCAAAAGUUAAUAGGGACAUCAUCUCUUGAUCACUCAUAAAUAUUCUCCUAUAUAAGCUUGGUUGGACUAAACAACAUCGUAUAAGACAAAAGUUUACAAGUAAUGUAUGUUAUGUGUUUAAAAAGCAGGAACAUGAGCUCAAGAGACUUGAAGGUCGUAGAAUUGGGGAAAAAAAGAGAGAAAGGAAAUGAAAUCACAAAGAAUCAAAAAAAUGCUGACAACAAUGUACAAUGGAGUUGGCUCUAAGAAGAGUCAAGUUAAAUCAAUUGCAUACGAACGCAACAUAAUAUAUCAAUAUGUUACAUUGCUAAUUUACAUCAUUGUUUCUCUUCAUCUAAUUUUUAAAAAUAUUAAAUUUGGGUAAUAAGUUGACUAUACAAUUUAAAGAACCCAUAAAAAUUAUUGUAAAGAAACUGCACUAGAACACAUAAUGAUAAAAAAAAUCAACCAAUUAAUCACCUCAUAUGAAAAACCACAAGACAUCCUACAAAGUUUUCAUCAUAGAGAUAGAAAGAUGCAAAGAAGUGAAAGGAUUCAUAACCAGAAGUGCGCCUCCAUUAUGACUAUAAGCCUCUGUUAAUCUUUUGAUUCUUCGCCCAAGUCUCGGCUUCAUUUUUUAACUUUUUCUUCUUUAAUUUUCUUGUAUACAUACACACACACCGUCUCUUUUUGUGUUUUUGACUGCUUUGGAAUCUUAGAUCAUUAAGUUAUGCAAUGUGAUUCACUCCAUUUUUGCUAGAUUUUAUCUCAAAGCAUUUGAAUUCCAACUAAAGUCUCCAUCUUUUUAUUUAAAUUGCAGGUUUUAUUUAUUGAAUAAGCCCAUAACUAUGGAGUUAGGGGAUAACAAGAUUUUUGAAGGUAGGGCUGCUGCUAGCAGCGACCCUACUGGAAGCCAAACUCAUGACCCUUCAAGCAAGUCCUCGGAAGAAUUAUAUAACGCAAAUCUCAAAGGAGAAAACCAUCACAGAGACGAAACUCUACAAGAAAAACUCAAAUUUCUCCUCCUUGACCUACGAGCCCCAUCUUUAAACCAAUAUUCUCAUUUUUAUCACUCACACAAUAACUAUCACUAUUCUAAACAACCCAAUUGCAUAAAACAACUAAAGAAACAAAAAAUUGCAGAACCCGAUUUUUGAUUUCUGGUUCAAUCGAAAAAAAAAACAAGAAGAAGAAAAAAGAAAACGAAACAGGUAAAAGAGAAAGAAAUUAAACUUACUCUUGAUUAGGCAGAUAAUCCAAUGGUAGAGUUUGUGUAAAGUAUCGAAAUUUGACCCCAACCUUCUGAGUUUGAGGUGAUGAAUUUUGCAACCUUUUGAGUUCUGACUGAUGAAGUUUGCAACCUUCUGAACUUUGAAUAGAAUUGAAGUCGCCGCUUAAUUAGGGAUUGUAGCGUGAAAGUAAUUUUUUGGGAGAUAUUUUAGAGUGAAAGUGAAUUUUUGGAGUGAUUUUACAGUAAAAAUAGAUUUUUGGGGUUUUUUUUUUUUACUUUACUUUCAUAUUCCCGUCUCUAUCCCGCUAAAAUCGAGUAUUAGAGGCCAGGUAUUAAAUUUUUUUAGACCAGAAUAAGUCUAGUCGUGUAUUUAGAAAACAAAUUGGGUAUUAGAGACCCCAAAAAAAU